rnacentral:tRNA from 1 species
GGUGGCUCAGUGGUAGAGCAUUUGCCUUGCAUGCAUGAGGCCUUGGGUUCGAUUCCCCAGCACCA